AUAACCAUCAUUUUCCACAUUGAAGAACUCAGAAAAUCCACAAUUCUCCCCCAAUCAGCACCUAAAAGAACAAAAAUUUCAAAAUCUCCUCCACAUGCACUGUCAGGACUUGUCGUCCUCUACCUCCUUCUCUUCCCCUCUUUCUCAUCCCAGAGACAUUAUCGUUAAAAUCAACGGCCAAGACUCCUCAAAGAACCUACUAAAAUUAGUGAGAAUAGUUUUUCUUUUCUAUUGGUCUCAACUUUUCAGCUUCUAUUGCUGCUUUUGGAUUUGGAGAUUCAAACUCUUGUGGCAUAAGCAAAGGGAGAAGGUAUAGUAUACGAUGUCGUCUGAUGAACCAUUCAUAAACGAAUUUACACAAAUAGCAUUAGUUAGGCUUCACUUUAGUCCUUUACUUGAAUAGCAUCAGUUAUGCCUUUUCUUUAUUUGUUUUACAUCAAAAUUCAAAAUUAUUUCGUUAUUUCACAAUUUGUUUUAAAUAGAGAUACAAAAUCGAAGAAAAUGAUUGGAAUAAACGUAAAUACAUUAGGUUAAUCUCAGUUUCGAUAUCAAUUUCUUCGUUUCAUCAAUUACAAUUUGAAAUUUAAUAGUAUGGAUUGGGGUUUUUAGUCAUGUCAUUUUACUUAUUGACAUUUAGGAAAUAGAGAAAUAUUUUAAUAAAUAGACAAGGAGGAUUAUAUUCACACCAAAUUUUAUUUUUCUAAAUACACUACAUGUUAGUUAUUUAUAUUUAGCCCUAAAAGAACUCCCCACAUUUGGAUAAAAUUCAUUGUGUUUAAUGUCAUUUGUUAUUUGCAAAGAUGUUUGGCCCAAAUAGUGCUAGAAGUAUUGGAUUAGGACCAAUACGCGAGGAAGAUAGCACGACCAAUAUUUGUGAGCAAUGUGCCGCAAGAAGAUCUAGUUAAACCGUUACCAAAUGGGGAUGAAAGGCCAAUAAACAUACGUAAUCAGGAGCUUAAUGUUGGAGAACUAUCUUUCGGAAAGAGGAAAUUGACUUAAGCUCUUUGGGAGCACUACAAAAGACAAAAAAUUGGUGAGAAAUGGAGGGCUAUAUGCACUCAUUAAAAGAAAUAGUUAGGGAGUGACAAAAAAAAUGGUACAAAGCAUUUGUAUAAUCAUUUGAAGAGAUGUGGAUUCCGUCAUCAGGAUAAUACUUGCCAAGCAAUAUUAAAUUUCAAAAAGGAUGCCGCGAGUGGCAAGGUCACAAUUGGUACUUACUCUUUCGAUCCACAUAAGUGUAGGUAUAGUCUAGCGACAAUGGUGAUUUUGCAUGAAUAUUCUUUGUCUAUGGUUGAUCACAGUGGAUUUCAAGAGUUUUUGCACGACCUACAACCAUUGUUUAAGGUUGCUUCUCGCAACACUUUGAAGAGCGACAAUUUGAAAAUCUAUGAAUACAAGAAAGCAAAAAAUAUGAUUGCACUUGAGAAUAUUGAGAGUCGAAUUUCAAUCACAAUCGACAUGUGGAUCUCUUCUGAUCAUAAGAAAUGAUUCAUGGUUAUCACUACUCAUUUCAUAGAUGAUGCUUGGAAACUACAGAAUCGAAUCAUGAGGUUUUUAUAGAUUUGUUCCCAAUGUUAGAGCUCCUAGCAAUGUGAAAACUGAGCUUGAUACUUUCUUGGAUGAGCCUAUAUUGCCUUGGUCGGAUGAUUUGAUAUAUUGACAUGGUGGAAAGUAAAUGUAAUCAAAUAUCCGACUUUAUCUCAAAUUGCAAAAGAUAUUUUGACUAUCCCAAUAUCUAUAGAGGUGCCCGAAUCUAUUUUCAAUGCUAGUUGCAGAUUUGUUAGUCCACGCAAAAAUAGGCUUCACCCCAAAACUUUGGAGGCUUUAAUGUGUACUCAAGAUUGGUUAUGGACCAAUAUCCACGAUUUGGUGUAUAUAAACAUUUGCUUUUCAUAUUGUUCAUUUAUGAAUUCUUUUAUUACUA